UACGUAGGUGGCAAGCGUUGUCCGGAUUUACUGGGCGUAAAGAGCGCGCAGGCGGCCAGGUCAGUCGAAUGUGAAAGCCCCCGGCUCAACUGGGGAGGGUCAUUCGAUACUGCCUGGCUUGAAGAUAGGAGAGGGAAGCGGAAUUUCAGGUGUAGUGGUGAAAUGCGUAGAUAUCUGAAGGAACACCAGUGGCGAAGGCGGCUUUCUGGCCUAUUCUUGACGCUGAGGCGCGAAAGCUAGGGGAGCGAACGGGAUUAGAAACCCCGGUAGUCC
rnacentral:rRNA from 1 species